rnacentral:lncRNA from 1 species
UCUACUGCCUUCCGAAUUUCAUCCGAGCUUCUACAGUAAGCAAAUUCUGUCCGAACUUCUAUUGCAAGCGGACUUCAUCUGAGUUUCUACGGUAAGUGGACUUCAUCCGAGCUUCUACAAUAAGUGGUCUCCAUUCGGGCUUCCACGGCAAUCGAUCUCCAUCCGAGCUUCUACAGUAAGCGGCCUCCUUUCAGACUCCUAC